UUACUUCUGUGGUAAUUAUCAAAACAAAGAUUCACUUAAACCACAAAUGUACACAUUGGUAGGGAUCGUAAAACCCUGAAACACACGACUCGUCCCUUAAUUCAUUAACAUAAACACACUGUAAGCAUUCUGGUCAGCAAACCCACAAGAAACACAUGACUCUCUCUCUCUCUCUCUCUCUCUCUCUCUCUCUUUCUCUCUCUCUCUAACACACCCACACACACACACGCACACCCACACACCCACAUACAAACACACUUCAGACACUGUCACCAGAGCUCAUAAAUGUAAAAUUUACACUAUCUACAGAACUGUCACCCCGGGAAAACACAUGUGUAGGACAGUGUGUAUAGGCCUACAAGACAUCGCCCGGAAAAUGUGUCUUCUAGUUUAAACAAAAUCUCGAUUCUUUUAAGCAGCACUUUAAACAUUUUACAUCCUAAAGGGUUAGGUUUAGAUGGCAUGUAAUACACGCGUUUCUUAUAAAACACCGUCUUUAAAAUGUUUACCUCCUAAAGGGACCUAUUUAGAAGAGUGUUAGAGGACCUGUAGACUGAACAAAUACUAAGGACAUUACAAU
ensembl:lncRNA